rnacentral:lncRNA from 1 species
UGGCAGCUUGACCUUCAACCCUCCAGGGUUUCUUUUUGACCUUUGCUUUCCUUCCAAACUUUCCCGCCUCUGGAAUAAAAGAGUCGCAGAACAGAGAAAGGCUUCAGGGAUGGGCUAUUGCCACAUUUCAGGGUCUGGCUUCAAUUUUGUAGGCCCAGGAAGUCAGUAGAUAAUAUAGAAUAAUUGAUCAAGCACCUAAGAAUGGCUGCUAAAAGAACUCACAAGAAUCUGAAGUGCCACACACCACGUGUUCCCAGCUCUAAGAGGCCUGUUUGUCCCCAUUUUACCACCUCUGGAUUCAGGACACGCCUGGCUGCAUUGUCUCCUUGUCUGCAUAGAAACUUGUGGGACAGAAGCCGCUGGCAGACGUUGGUGGGGACCCUCACAACGCCCCCAAUUCAGGCCCCUGAGGCCACAGGAAAGGAUGUGGCACAAGGAGGCCAACCAUGCAGUCCUGCUUGGAGCGGUGACUGGGAAGACAGACGUACCCUGAAGAAGCACAGAGGAAUCGAGACAGCUUUCUAGUUUGGGGGACAAUCUUGAUCUCUCUUAGCUGAAUGGGAGUCUUCGAUUCUAUGAAGGGCCAGACGCAUUGCUGGUGGGUGGGUUGGCACAGUCCACUGCAAGCCUUCACCAAUGGCACUGGUGCCGCCGCUGACGCAGGGAGGAGAGGGCUGCUCUGCGGAUUGACCGGUUGGAGGCAGGUGCAGGUUCCAGA